rnacentral:rRNA from 1 species
AGAGUUUGAUCCUGGCUCAGGACGAACGCUGGCGGCGUGCUUAACACAUGCAAGUCGAACGAUGAACCACUUCGGUGGGGAUUAGUGGCGAACGGGUGAGUAACACGUGGGCAAUCUGCCCUUCACUCUGGGACAAGCCCUGGAAACGGGGUCUAAUACCGGAUAUGAGCCUGGGAGGCAUCUCCUGGGUUGUAAAGCUCCGGCGGUGAAGGAUGAGCCCGCGGCCUAUCAGCUUGCUGGUGAGGUAACGGCUCACCAAGGCGACGAUCCGUAGCUGGUCUGAGAGGAUGAUCAGCCACACUGGGACUGAGACACGGCCCAGACUCCUACGGGAGGCAGCAGUGGGGAAUAUUGGACAAUGGGCGCAAGCCUGAUCCAGCCAUGCCGCGUGAGUGACGAAGGCCUUAGGGUUGUAAAGCUCUUUUGGCGGGGAAGAUAAUGACGGUACCCGCAGAAUAAGCUCCGGCUAACUUCGUGCCAGCAGCCGCGGUAAU